GGGCAUGUAGUCUAAUGGAUAGGAUACCUCAAAUUGCUUAGCACAAGCGCGCUAUUCCGUGAUUGUAUGCCUAGGACAGUCAGGUCAUGCCUGAUUGAUGAGGAGACGCGAGUUCGAGUCCCGCCAUGUCCA